CUGAAAUGACCAUGGUAUAGGUUAAAUGUGUGUGGCAAUGGGCUGCCUUAUAAAAUCAGAUUUAUUUGGACAUUACUUCUGAGAUGAGACCACAAGUUGCCAAGUGAUGAGGGUGACCACAAGCAUAUGCCAGAAUAAAGCAAGUGGCUGCCAGGAUGAAGAGGAUUAUGAAACUGGACUUGGAGAGAAACAGAAAAUGAAACAGCAUUGCCUCAUAUUCAUGCAGCUGCUAAUCAUGGCUCCUGGAUCAGUUUUUCUUACCAAACGGUGACUUAAGCAUCAGAACAGAAACCGAAGAGAAAAUUAGGCAAUUUCAUCUUGGUUUCUGGUUCUUAGCAAGGCAAUAUGAUAAAUUCAAAUUCAACUUGUAUAGGAGGCAAUUAUCAGCAGUCUGUCUCAAGUCACUUCAAGCGUGAAGGGGUUCUUGGGGUGACCUGUUGGUCAAUUUCUGUCUGCUUCUGCCUCCUAGGAGUUCAUUUGGAGUUGCUGACACUCUUAACCUGGAACAGUUUUGGGCCUUUUGUGCAGGGAAGACAAUUUUCCCUAGAAAUGAAGAAAAGAGAACAUCUUUGUGUCCAGGCCCUUGCAUUUGAAAAUUGGAAUUUAUGGAGGUACGGCAUAUCCGAAAUGCGUGGCCAGAACAAGAAAACGAGCUUUAGAAGUUCGGGUGCUUAAUAAAUAUGCUUUAUGAUAUUGCAGCUUUUAAAUGAGGCAAAAUUGAAAGAAAUUAGGGGCUCCAAGAGGGAUGCACAUGUUUUGUUUGUUUGUUUUGUUUUAUUGAAAAUAACUUUGUUUGUUGUUUUUGGUUUUUUUGGUUUCAUUUUUGUUUUUGUUUUUGUUUUGAGGAAGAUUAGCCCUGAGCUAACUGCUGCCAAUCCUCCUCUUUUUGCUGAGGAAGACUGGCCCUGAGCUAACAUCCACUCCCAUCUUCCUCUGCUUUAUAUGUGGGACGCCUACCACAGCAUGGCUUGACAAGCAGUGCCAUGUCCGCACCCAGGAUCCGAACCGGUGAACCCCGGGCCGCCGAAGUGGAAGGAAGGGAAUGCACAUGUUUUUAAUUAAAGAGACUGUAGCUGGGCGACCUGAACAUUCUCUGAGUGCACACACGAGCAAUACAUGGGAGAUACUUUGUAGCAUCCUUAUAGAAAAUAAAGAAGAGGCAGUAUAGCA
rnacentral:lncRNA from 1 species